ACCUGACUAGCUCAGUUGGUUAGAGUGCAGCGCUGAUAACGCCACGGUUGCAAGUUCAAUCCCCGUAUGGGACA